UUCCAGUUCCUGCCUGACUGUUUAAGUCCAUAAAGAGAUUUUUGCAGUUUAUACACCAGUCUCUUAUUUUCUUGAGAUUCCUUCUUAUAGCCCUCUGGUUGUUCAAUAUAAAGUUCACAUUCAAUUGGGGCAUGUAAAUAUGCUGUCUUUACAUCCAUCUGGUGAACAAACAUGUUCUCCUGUGCCACCUUUUGCAUCAACACUCUGAUGCUUGUCAUGCUAGCAGUUGGUGAAAAGGUUUCAUCAUAGUUCAUACCUUUCUUUUGACUGAAUCCUCUAGCAACAUAUCUAGCCUUAUAUCUGUCUGAACCAUCACUAUUCUUUUUGAUUGCAUAUACCCAUUUACCACCCACUACAGUUUUACCCUCAGGUAAAUUGGUCAGGGUAAAAGUAACAUUGUCCUUUAAUGAUUUCAUUUCCUCAUCCAUUGCCGUAACCCAUUCUUUUGCAUUUACAGAUGUUACAGCUUCCUUAUAGGUUUGAGGGUAUCGCCCCUCAGGUUGUUCAUGUCUUGUUGUGUCACUGGUACUCGCCAUUGGUUCUUCCUCUGUGCUCAUUUUAUGGUCAGAAACGUUUUCUGGAUCAGCCUUUGAAGUUUUGGUUGCUCUGGAAUUAAUUCUAAUCAAAUCAUCAUCAUCAUCCAAAGUUACAUCCUUCUCUUUUUUCUCUCUGGAUACAAAAUCCACAAGCCUAUGUUUCUGGAUUUUCCUGCUGUUUGGAUAGUACACCAUAUAGGCUGGACUAUUCUUGUCAUAUCCUAUAAAAAUGCCUUUUUCACACCUUGAAUCCAGCUUCCCUUUCUCUUGUUUGUAAGUGUAACAAACACAUCCAAACUUGUGCAUCCUAGAAAUGUUAGGCUGUCUGCCCGUCAACAUGAAAUAAGGCGUUUGGUUUGUGCGAUUAUUAAAACAUCUAUUUCGCACUACAGCAGCUGUCUGAACUGCAUACGGCCAUAACAUUUUUGGUAUCUCACCAUCAAUUAACAUACAUCUAGCCAUGUCAAACAAAGUUCUCCAAUUUCGUUCUGCCGUGCCAUUUUGAUGUGGAGAAUAUGGUGCAGAGGUCUCAUGUCUGAUACCGUUUCUGCUCAGUAAUGCUUGAUACUCUUUUCCUGUGAAUUCUGUACCAUUGUCUGACCUCAUACAUUUUAUCUUCCCAUAUGGAGCCAUGUCAGCAAUAAACUUUUCAGUAGCUU